AGAGUUUGAUCCUGGCUCAGGACGAACGCUGGCGGCGUGCCUAACACAUGCAAGUCGAACGAGGCCAUAUCUAACACAGAGUGUUGGACAGUUACAAGUUAGAAGUUAUAAGUUGUCAAGAAAAGCCUGGCAACUGGGAACUGGCAACUGGGAACUGUCACAUCCAACACUGUGUGUUGGGUGUGACCUAGUGGCGAACGGGUGAGUAACGCGUGAGCAACCUGACCUUUUGAGGGGGAUAACAUCAAGAAAUUGGUGCUAAUACCGCAUAAGACCACGGAGUCGCAUGACUUUGAGGUCAAAGGAGCAAUCCGCAGAAGGAGGGGCUCGCGUCCCAUUAGAUAGUAGGCGGGGUAACGGCCCACCUAGUCCGCGAUGGGUAGCCGAGCUGAGAGGCUGAACGGCCACACUGGAACUGAGACACGGUCCAGACUCCUACGGGAGGCAGCAGUGGGGAAUAUUGGGCAAUGGGCGCAAGCCUGACCCAGCAACGCCGCGUGAGGGAAGAAGGCUUUCGGGUUGUAAACCUCUGUCCUUGGUGACGAAGGAAGUGACGGUAGCCAAGGAGGAAGCCCCGGCUAACUACGUGCCAGCAGCCGCGGUAAUACGUAGGGGGCGAGCGUUGUCCGGAAUUACUGGGCGUAAAGGGAGCGUAGGUGGCAGCUUAAGUUGGAUGUGAAAAGCCCGGGCUUAACUCGGGAGGUGCAUCCAAAACUGGGCAGCUAGAGUGCAGGAGAGGGAAGCGGAAUUCCUAGUGUAGCGGUGAAAUGCGUAGAUAUUAGGAGGAACACCAGUGGCGAAGGCGGCUUUCUGGACUGUAACUGACACUGAGGCUCGAAAGCGUGGGGAGCAAACAGGAUUAGAUACCCUGGUAGUCCACGCUGUAAACGAUGAAUACUAGGUGUAGGGGGUAUCAACUCCCUCUGUGCCGCAGCAAACGCAAUAAGUAUUCCGCCUGGGAGCACGGCCGCAAUG
rnacentral:rRNA from 1 species